UGGGGAAUAUUGGACAAUGGGGGCAACCCUGAUCCAGCAAUGCCGCGUGUGUGCAGAAGGCCUUCGGGUUGUAAAGCACUUUUAUCGGGAACGAAACAUUGUCGGCCAAUACCCGGCAAGACUGACGGUACCCGAGGAAUAAGCACCGGCUAACUCCGUGCCAGCAGCCGCGGUAAUACGGAGGGUGCAAGCGUUAAUCGGAAUUACUGGGCGUAAAGCGUGCGCAGGCGGUUUGUUAAGUCUGCUGUGAAAUCCCCGAGCUCAACGUGGGAAGUGCAGUGGAUACUGGCAAGCUGGAGUACGGUAGAGGAUGGUGGAAUUCCCGGUGUGGCAGUGAAAUGCGUAGAGAUCGGGAGGAACACCAGUGGCGAAGGCGGCCUUCUGGACCAGUACUGACGCUCAUGCACGAAAGCGUGGGGAGCAAACA
rnacentral:rRNA from 1 species